rnacentral:rRNA from 1 species
UGCUGGCGACCGGCGCACGGGUGAGUAACACGUAUCCAACCUGCCCUUUACUCGGGGAUAGCCUUUCGAAAGAAAGAUUAAUACAAGAUGGCAUCAUGAGUCCGCAUGUUCACAUGAUUAAAGGUAUUCCGGUAGACGAUGGGGAUGCGUUCCAUUAGAUAGUAGGCGGGGUAACGGCCCACCUAGUCUUCGAUGGAUAGGGGUUCUGAGAGGAAGGUCCCCCACAUUGGAACUGAGACACGGUCCAAACUCCUACGGGAGGCAGCAGUGAGGAAUAUUGGUCAAUGGGCGAGAGCCUGAACCAGCCAAGUAGCGUGAAGGAUGACUGCCCUAUGGGUUGUAAACUUCUUUUAUAAAGGAAUAAAGUCGGGUAUGGAUACCCGUUUGCAUGUACUUUAUGAAUAAGGAUCGGCUAACUCCGUGCCAGCAGCCGCGGUAAUACGGAGGAUCCGAGCGUUAUCCGGAUUUAUUGGGUUUAAAGGGAGCGUAGAUGGAUGUUUAAGUCAGUUGUGAAAGUUUGCGGCUCAACCGUAAAAUUGCAGUUGAUACUGGAUAUCUUGAGUGCAGUUGAGGCAGGCGGAAUUCGUGGUGUAGCGGUGAAAUGCUUAGAUAUCACGAAGAACUCCGAUUGCGAAGGC